rnacentral:lncRNA from 1 species
UGAACCCUAUGCCUCCCUCCUCAAAAGGCAUACAAAGGUUAGUCCAAGAUGACCAAUGUCUAGUGCUCCCUCCUACAUUGCUGCUCCAGAAAAACUUGGCAAAAAUGCUAUGUAAUUUGUUGAUCACAUAAAUUGGAGGAUUAACUGCUGACAACAUAUGAAUUGGGAUACUCUGCAGGACAUUUGCAAUUAAAACAACUCUGCCUCUUACAGAUAGGAGUUUGUCUUUCCAUGACUGAAGUUUGUACAUAACCUUGGUGAUUAAUCCCUGGUAAUAGUCUCCCCUUCUUCUUGCAUAAAAAAUAGGACAGCCAAGAUAGGUCAUAGGGAAACAUUGUCUUCGUAUACCUGUAAUCCUUUCCACCUUGUUAAUCACCUCAUUAUCCGUUAAAUGAUGCAGGUAUAUGGCUGAUUUGGCUUUGUUCACCAGUUGACCAGAUGAUGAUUCAUAAGCUUGCAAAACCUCCAUGACAAG